AUGCAUCUGGGGUAUUCGCCAGUUUAUGGUUUUACCUGAGCUGAUAAUUUAUAUAAGGGUAUGCGUUCUUUUCACUUGUUGUGCAAGCCUGCAUCCAGCUACGCUGCGAUGAUUCAGGAAGCCUUAAGAGUGGUUGCCAUACCCACCCUGAACGUUACAGUUCAUGGGUUCACAUAGACAGCGGUACUCUGGACCAAAA
rfam:Enhydrobacter aerosaccus strain CGMCC9176 contig_9, whole genome shotgun sequence.